rnacentral:rRNA from 1 species
CCUACGGGUGGCAGCAGUAGGGAAUAUUGCUCAAUGGGGGAAACCCUGAAGCAGCAACGCCGCGUGGAGGAUGAAGGUUUUAGGAUUGUAAACUUCUUUUGUUAGAGAAGAUUAUGACGGUAUCUAACGAAUAAGCACCGGCUAACUCAGUGCCAGCAGCCGCGGUAAUACGGAGGGUGCAAGCGUUAAUCGGAAUCACUGGGCGUAAAGAGGUCGUAGGCGGGGUAAUAAGUCAGAUGUGAAAUCCUGUAGCUUAACUACAGAACUGCAUUUGAAACUGUUACUCUGGAGUGUGGGAGAGGUAGGUGGAAUUCUUGGUGUAGGGGUAAAAUGCGUAGAGAUCAAGAGGAAUACUCAUUGCGAAGGCGACCUGCUGGAACAUUACUGACGCUGAUGCACGAAAGCGUGGGGAGCAAACAGGAUUAGAUACCCGUGUAGUC